CGUGUAGGCGGGUCUUUAAGUCAGGGGUGAAAUGCCAAGGCUCAACCUUGGAACUGCCUUUGAUACUGGAGAUCUUGAGUCCGGGAGAGGUGAGUGGAACUGCGAGUGUAGAGGUGAAAUUCGUAGAUAUUCGCAAGAACACCAGUGGCGAAGGCGGCUCACUGGCCCGGUACUGACGCUGAGAUGCGAAAGCGUGGGGAGCAAACAGGAUUAGAUACCCUGGUAGUCCACGCUGUAAACGAUGGAUGCUAGCCGUUAGGCAGCUUGCUGCUUAGUGGCGCAGUUAACACUUUAAGCAUCCCGCCUGGGGAGUACGGUCGCAAGAUUAAA
rnacentral:rRNA from 1 species